GUAAUUUAUUAGGUUGUAACCAAAAAAAAAAAACCUGGUAUAAUGUCCUCUUUGAAAUUUUUAAUAUUUAGUUAUAUUUAUUUAUACAUAUAUAAUUUACAGAACACAUAAUAUAAUUAUAAUAUAUAUCCCCUUUUUCUUUUAUAACAGUCUACAUUUUAUUUGUUUGCUUUAUUUUCUUUUCUGUUUUCUAUCACUCCUCUUUAUCAAUCUAUAUUAACCUCACUCCAAAGGUGAAAUUCUAAUUCAUAAUUUUUAACAACUGUAUAAUAUUAAUAAUAUAAAUAUAAUAUUUUUGUGUGCUUAUCCAUUUAGAUUUUUCAUCUGUAAAAUUCUCAUUUAUAUAAUUUGUUCAUUGUUCUAUUCUAUAAAAUUUUCCUUGUAAAUCUCUAACAACCCUUUUUUAAUGAAUAGGACACAUUUUCUAUCAACAUUAUAAGUACAUCCUUCAAAAUCCAUAGAUUAUUUACUAACAUUAUGGUAACAUUUUAUGUACAACAGUUUUAAUUUUUUUGUAUAUUCAAAUAUAUCUGAUUUUGAUUUUUUAAAUAUUUUUUGAAGGUUCUGAAUUCUAGUAUUGAUCAAAAAAUCACCCCAGCAUCUCAGCUAGAUUAUAAAAUGUGUAUUAAUUAUUAGUAAUAAUAUUUUGAUACACAUUCAAUCUGGAAUGUAUUUGAAUAUUAUAUAUCUACUAGAAGCUUCACUACAAUGCUAAAUGACGCUGACAAGCUUUGUAUCUGUGCUAGUACUCAUGCUAUCACUAAAUAGUUUAACUUCUGUUCUCAUUUUGCUUAGAGUCAUUAAAAAUGGCUAUUGUAUUAUUUCAUACAGCUUUAAACAAUAUUGAUGAAAUUAUACGUGUGUAUAUAUAUACCUAUAGUCAUGCAUUAAUUAGAGACAUGAAUAUGUUCUGAUAAAUGCAUCACUAGGCAAUUUUGUUGUGCAUACUUCAUAGACUGUACUUACACAAACCUAGUUGGUAUACCCUACUACACAUGGGGACUAUAUGUAAUAGCAUAUUUCUCCUAUGCUACAAACCUUUAGAAAAUAUUAGUGUACUCAAUACUGUAGGAAAUUAUAGCAAAAUGCUCAGAAUUUGUGUAUGUAAACAUCUAAACAAUGAAAAUGUACAGUAAAAUAAUAUAUAAGUGAUAAAAUAUGGUAUACUUACAUAGGGCAUGUUCCAUGAAUGGAGCUUACAGGAUUGAAAUUUUCUCUGUGUGAGUCAGUAAGUGAGUAGUAAGUGAAUGUAAAGGCCUAGGAUAUUACUGUACACUCCUGUAAAUGUUAUAAACACUGUACACUUAGGCUGCAGUAAAUUUAUAAAUUUUUUUCCUUUAAAUAAUUAAUUUUAGCUUAUUAAAUUUUCUUUAUAAAAUGUUUAAUUUUUUUAACUUUUGGAUUCUUUUUGACUGUACAUUCAUGAACUGCAUAAUGAAAGUCAGUCAACAAUAAACUGCAUUUAUGAUGGGUGGGUCCCAUAAUAUUAUGAUUUUCUAAUGUCAUAAUUUUGAACAACCCAUCUAUGCUCAGAGGAGGGAAGGGGAGGCCUACUUGAUCUUAGUAAAUUUUUAUUUUAAUAUACUGCGGGAGUCUGUUUCAUGCAUUUUAUAUAUAAUUGUUGUUUCUACAUUCAUAAAGAAGAGUACCUUCAAGUUUUUAAAUUAUUUCAAUGUUUUAUUAUUAAUGUUAUUUUUGCUUCAUACUACUUUAUUUUUUGUUAGCUUAUCAUAAAAUUUUUAAUAAUAUUUGAAUUAUUUUCUAUGUAAAUUUUAGAUAGAAGUAUACUUGGAACAUAUCUUACCUUGAUGUAUUAUUUAAUGGCAGACACUCAAAUUUUUUAACAAUUUAUUUUAUGAUAAUGUAUCCAAAUAAAUGUUUUACAUCUCCAAGGGCAAUUUUGGAAGAUUACAUUUUGAUAAAAAGUAGCCUGUUUUCUCUAUACUUUUGAUUUACUUGUACAUAGUAGCAUGUGGUAUUUUCUUGUUAUUAUUUUCAUAUUUUCACGUAAAUGUGUUAUUGCUCUUUUUUAGUGUUUACUUACAUGUUUAGCUCUUAUAUUGUGUUAAUCUGGCUCAUAAAGCAUUUAUUAUAUUUUUCAAUGAAUAAAUUAGAGUGUGUUUUAUCACAAUAAAACCCUAGAAAGCAGUAAUUCAAGUUGUCAGUGCUGCCAAAUUAGCUCCAAUGUAUAAUAACUUGGAAUAUCAUUAGGUGAAAAAUCACAUUUAACUCUCAAUUGUUUGAUUAGUGUCUGCAUAUUGAUAUAUCAGAAAAAAUGCUAUUAAUCAAAAUGCUUGAACCCAUGUUUAGAACCACACAGUUUUCCUGAGAAUCUCUUAAUUCAAAGUGUCUUUUUUCACUUUGGAAUUUGUUUCUCAAUUUCACAUUAGUACUGUAUUAGUCCUUUUUCACACUCCUGAUAAAGACAUAUCCGAGAUUUGGAAGAAAAAGAGGUUUAAUUGGACUUACAGUUCCACAUGGCUGGGGAGGCCUCAGAAUCAUGGAAUAAGGCCAAAGGCACUUCUUACAUCAUGGCAGCAAGAGAAAAUGAGGAAGAAGCAAAAGUGGAGGCCGGGAGCGGUGGCUCACGCCUGUAAUCCCAGCACUUUGGGAGGCCGAGGCGGGCGGAUCACGAGGUCAGGAGAUCGAGACCAUCCCGGC
rnacentral:lncRNA from 10 species